rnacentral:rRNA from 1 species
AGUGAACGCUGGCGGUAGGCCUAACACAUGCAAGUCGAACGGCAGCACAGUAAGAGCUUGCUCUUACGGGUGGCGAGUGGCGGACGGGUGAGGAAUACAUCGGAAUCUACUUUUUCGUGGGGGAUAACGUAGGGAAACUUACGCUAAUACCGCAUACGACCUACGGGUGAAAGCAGGGGAUCUUCGGACCUUGCGCGAUUGAAUGAGCCGAUGUCGGAUUAGCUAGUUGGCGGGGUAAAGGCCCACCAAGGCGACGAUCCGUAGCUGGUCUGAGAGGAUGAUCAGCCACACUGGACCUGAGACACGGUCCAGACGCCUACGGGAGGCAGCAGUGUGGAAUAUUGGACAAUGGGCGCAAGCCUGAUCCAGCCAUACCGCGUGGGUGAAGAAGGCCUUCGGGUUGUAAAGCCCUUUUGUUGGGAAAGAAAAGCAGCAGGUUAAUACCCCGCUGUUCUGACGGUACCCAAAGAAUAAGCACCGGCUAACUUCGUG